ensembl:misc_RNA Metazoa_SRP Metazoan signal recognition particle RNA
GCUGGGGUUGGUGGUCCAUGCCUGUAAUCCCUGCUACCCAGGAGACUGAGGCUGGCAAAUUUCUUAAGCUCAAGAGUUCUGCGCCACAGUGGACAAUGACAAUCAGGUAUCUGAACUAAGUUCAGCAUUAAUACGGUGAGUCCUUGCUCCUGAGGAGCCACCAGGUGGCCUAAGGAGCUGUGAACUGGCCCAGGUUGGAACUGGAGCUGGUCAAGUGGGAACUGAUCAGUAGUGGGAUUGGGCUUGUGAGUAGCCCCUGUACUUCCAGGUUGGGUGAAAUAGGAAGAGUCAGUCUUUA